UCUUCUUCGAUUUCAUCUUCCUGUAUGGUGUCUGCGGCUGCGUCGAUCUUGGCCGGAAGGAUGAUGCUCGCGGUUCUCGAUGUCAAUACAGAAGCUUGAUCUGCAGACAAAUCACGAUACAUAACGUAUCCAACCCAAAACGCGAAAGAGAUUUGAAGAAAAUACCGGUUUGUUAUGGGAGCACAAAAUCGAGAAGAAGAAUAGGAUGAAAGCGGAUUGUAAGGUGAAGUGGAUAGCUGUAGCAGUGAAAAUCCGUUUUAACGUCUUUAUGAUUAUGCAAAACAGAAUUCGGGAUCUUUGAGAUCUGCUGUUGGAACCGUCGAAGGUACUAUUACUACAGUUAUUGGUCGUGUUUAUCACAAAUUCAAGCCUCUCCCUCAAGAUGUCCUCCUUUUUUUUUUGACAAUAAGGUGAGGACACACUUUGCUAGCUCUGAUUGGAAAAAAGUUUUCACACUAAUAGCUUCAAAACACCCGAAUUCUACAAUAGGAUAACAUAUUGUCAAUGGAUGAAUUAACUCCAACUUUUCUUCAUGACAGUGUCCUUCCUUUCUAUAACCUUCAAGAACGAGGGCAUGUUGUACAUGAGAUGCAGUGGUCCAAAUUUACUUGGAUAAUGCUGGUGAUCUGGAACUUAUUGGAAAAAGCCUUGAAUCUUCUGACCUCAACUUCUCAAGAUAAGGUAAAAGACACUAUCUUGACAUUUGG